AGAGGAAAGAAGGGACAGUCUGAUAAGAGAGGGAGCUGAGCUGGCUGGAGGCUGCAAUUCUGAACCUGAGCUUAACUGGGAGGAACCAUGAAGACAUCCAUGGGAGCUUUAAUGAUGUUCUUGUGGCUGCAGCUUAACUGGUUCAGCCAGGGAGAGAAUGUGGAGCAGCAUCCUUCUACCCUGAGUGUCCAGGAGGGAGGCAGCUCUUUUAUCAACUGCAGUUAUUCCGAUGGUGGCUCAGACUACUUCCCCUGGUAUAAGCAAGAACUUGGAAAAGGUCCCCAGCUCUUUAUAUACAUUCGUUCAAGCAUGGCUACAAAAGAAGACCAAAGACUCACUGUCUCAUUGAAUGAGACGGCCAGACGUUUCUCCCUGCACAUCAGAGACACCCAGCCUGAAGACUCAGCUGUGUACUUCUGCGCAGCAAGCACACAUUGCUUCCCAGGCACUUGCUGCCUGCACUCAAACCUGGGACUGGGGCAGCCCCGUCCUUUGACACAGACCUUCAAAGAUAGCUUUUGUGCUGUUGUUUAUCCACAAGUGGAAGCUAACAUAUUAGACAUUAAAAGCAUAUAAGAGGAAGAGUAAGCCAAUGAUGACCUGGACAGAGGUAGAACAUUUUGUUAGAUGACUGUUGCCUAAUGGAUUCUUGAAGGUAGUUAGUAAUGUUUUAUUUUGAAAUCUGGGUUUUAAAGAUGAAUUUACUUUUGCUAUUCAGGCUCCUUUUCUAUAAAUAACUCCGUAGUUCCAGUGAACAGUCCUUACUAUGGAUAGACUCAAACACUGUGUUUCAAAGGUAGCAUUUAUGAUAUUUCUGAUUCUGAAACAUAAUUGGACAUUUAGAAAUAUUGAAAGUACAAAUAUGAAAAUGAAAAUUCUGUGAUCACAUAAUGUUGCUAUUAUUGUUUUUAGACUCUAAAAUUCCUUAUUAUAAUUAUGAUCAUGAUUUUUUUACUUUAUAUAUUUUGAUUUGAGCAUGACCCUUUCAUCAAUUUUUUCCUCAAAGAUCUGCUUUAUUUUAUUUUAUUUUUUAAUUUAGUCAUUUAGCAUGUGUUUUAAAAUAGCUCUGUGAGAUAUUUUACUUAAUUACAUUUUCAUAUUAAUUUUGUCCCUCUGUAUUUCAGGCAAAAUUUGAGAGCCAUUGCUAUGUGCUUUGAUUGCUUUCUUGUUCAGAAAUUUUGUCACGGGUUUUCCUUUAGAGCCCAGGGAUGGUAUGUACUAUUUGUUUGUUUGAGGGAAAUUAAGCAGGGAGUGGUUUGACAAUGUGAGCUUCAGCUAAAACUCAGAAAUCUAUUCUCAUUUACAAAAUUCUGUAUCUGUUCACAAAAAUGCUUUCAUAGAAUUUAGGAGACAGAAUUUUGUAUUUCCUUCAUUGCUAUAUUUUCAGUAGGUACAACAAAUUUUUUCACAUAAUUCAUUAUCAGUAGAUGUUAAUGAAAGAAGGAUAGAAGAAUUCUGCUACCCAUAAUUUAAUUUAAGCUUUAUGAUUGGAUUGAAUUUGUAAAUUUAUUUGUGACAAAUAAAAGUCCUUGAAGUGUC